rnacentral:rRNA from 1 species
CCCUUAGAUGUUCGGGGCCGCACGCGCGCUACACUGAAGGAAUCAGCACGUCUUUCUCCUUGUCCGAAAGGACUGGGUAACCCGCUGAACCUCCUUCGUGCUAGGGAUUGGGGCUUGUAAUUCCUCCCCAUGAACGAGGAAUUCCCAGUAAGCGCGAGUCAUAAGCUCGCGUUGAUUACGUCCCUGCCCUUUGUACACACCGCCCGUCGCUACUACCGAUUGGAUGGUUUAGUGAGAUCCUCGGAUUGGUCCCGGAGCGGCCUCUGGUCGUGCCGGAGUGCCGAAAAGAAUGUCGAACUUGAUCAUCUAGAGGAAGUAAAAGUCGUAACA